UAUCUGGUAUGAAAUAAAACAGUGAUUUUCACAGUCAUUAAGUUUUCCCACAACAAAUAUUUUUUUAAAAGUUGCAUUUUAUUGCAUUUCAGACAAUAAAAUGUUUAUGUAAAAUGUUUAUGUUGUUAUUUUAAAAAAGACCUGAAUCAUUUCUAACAUAACAUAACGUAUAUAAAAAAGCUUAAGUGGUUCAAUAAAAAAUCUACAGAAUGUGUUGAGUUUUUAUCUGAUUAAUCGUGUGUACCAUGUAUUUAAUACCUUGUGGGGACCAUUUUUCCUGACACAUACUACGUGGAUGGGGAGCCACUGUUCAAAGCCUGGACCCCACAAGGGGAAACGUUGCUUGUGGAUCAGCGGUUAGGUUUAAGACUAAGGUGUGAACUGAGUUUUGGUUAGGGUUAUGUAAUUUUUGUUUGUGCUGCUUUGGUAUCUGAUAUAUUAAAAUUAUUUUUUAGGUCAUUCAGAGGUCAUCCUCCCGAUCUUCCCCCAAAACAAACCAAAGUGGGUUACUUUUUUCAGUGCUCCAUUUGUGUAGUAGUGAUGUCACUAUUAGUGCUGGUGGAUGACCUAAAAAAUUAUUUUUAAUAUCUCAGAAACCAAAGCAGCA